CUCCUACUUAUGGAGCGGCGCUGGUGCGUGAGGAUUAAACUCACGGUUCGAGCUUGUGAAUAUCCCCAGAG
rnacentral:ncRNA from 1 species